rnacentral:misc_RNA from 1 species
CCGAGUUUACAACUCCCAAACCCCUGUGAACAUACCUAUCGUUGCUUCGGCGGAUCCGCCCCGGCGCCCUCGGGCCCGGAUCAGGCGCCCGCCGGAGACCCCAAACUCUUGUAUUUCUUUAGUAUCUUCUGAGUAAACAAGCAAGUAAAUUA